CUUGGUUGACACUGCUUUUAUUGUGGAUAAAGGAGAGAUGGUCAGUAAUUAAUGGCUUGAAGUAUUAUUGGAGUGGUUUAUCAUUUCUGAAACUAAUCGUGUCAGAAUUGACUUUGAAAAGCAUUGCUUUUUACAGAAAUAUAUUAACUUUUUAGGAGUAAUUUCUAGUUUGGAUUGUAAUACGAAAUAAUUUAAAAGGGCUUGCUCAUAUAUAGGAAAAUUGCAUAUGGUCCUAGUAUUAAAUUCUUAUUGCUUACUGAUUUUUUUGAGUUAAGAGUUGUUAUAUGCUAGAAUAUGAGAAUGUGAAUAUAAAUAAGAGAAGAAAAAAGAAUAAAGUAGAUUGAGUCUCCAAUUUUAUGUAAGCUUCAGAAGAACUGGUUUGUUUACAUGCAAGCUUAUAGUUGAAAUAUUUUUCAGGAAUUACAUGAAUGACAGUCUUCGAACCAAUGUGUUUGUUCGAUUUCAACCAGAGACUAUAGCAUGUGCUUGCAUCUACCUUGCAGCUAGAGCACUUCAGGUAGGUGUAUAUUUCCCAUUUUGUUGUGUAGGAUAAAUCACACAAAUUUUCGGUGGUUCCAAUACAGAUUUAGCAAAAAUUUAAUUUAAACCAUUCUGUUCUUAUGAUUUAGAUUCCAUUGCCAACUCGUCCCCAUUGGUUUCUUCUUUUUGGUACUACAGAAGAGGAAAUCCAGGAAAUCUGCAUAGAAACACUUAGGCUUUAUACCAGAAAAAAGCCAAACUAUGAAUUACUGGAAAAAGAAGUAGAAAAAA
rnacentral:sRNA from 1 species